ensembl:snoRNA
GGCGAGCACUUUACCGCUGAGCCACAAUCCCGUCCCAAAACAUAGCCUUUUUUGCAACCCAAAACUCAUUGUUCAUUUUGAGUUUUGAUACAUAUAAGCAGGACUAUU